GUCUUCACUUCCGUGAAGUCGGAGACCUCCGCACACACACCUUGGAGACCUCUGAAUGUAUGCGUCAGAGUAACUGACAAAUUGAUCACUUGUCAGUUUCCCCCGUCUCGACCCAAUCUCAGACAUAAAUCAACGACCUGCCAGCCCGACUUCCGCCUUUCACCACCUUGACAGUAUGAUGAAGUUAUUUGAAGACUCAUGAUGCUCAAGAGAGGUUCUCAGAAGACUGGAAAAAAAACAAUCUGGUACCUAUCUUUAAGAAGGGAAUACGGGAGUACCCAGGAAACCACAGUCCAAUCAGUUUGACCUCAACCCCAGGUAAAGUCCUGGGGAAAAGCAUCAAAGAAACCAUUAUACGCAGGUAUUAUAAGCAAUAUGGCAAAGUUCACUGACAACACCAAGCUAUGGGGGAGCAUUGUCACGCUUGACAGCAGGCUGGCAUGAUUGACAACAAAAUCAAUAUGAGCCACCAAUGCAAUGCUGUAGCUGCAGAGCUAACCAAACACUGGCAUCUGGCAUCCACCGAGGCAUCUUGAGUAAGGUUUGAGGACUUCCUGCUUGUUCUGGUAAGAAAGUAUAUCUUGGAAGGUACCUGCUGAAGAUAUGAAAAUUGAAGAAAAAUUGUGUGAAAAAUGAAGAAAAUUGAAUUAAAGUGGCAUUCUUUCAUUAGCAAAGAUUAUACAAACAGGGACAGUAAUGUGAGUUGUCUGAUAAUUCUCUGGAAGAUAAUGUAUGAAUGAAUUUAAUAUAAAUGUUUUACUGAAGAACAACUCUUGCAAAUAUCGGGCUGAAUGUGAGACCUUUUAUCAACAGCUGUAUGAUGAAAGAACAUAAUUUGUCAUUGGAGAAAAAUGUAUGUGAAUCAAGUAAUGAAAUGUUACAAUGUGAAUUAAAUGUGCUCCUUUUUUGUUUUAUGAUUAAAAUCCAAUUGACUGUCUAACAUAUCAACCUAAAAAAAAGUAUAAUCGCUUUGUUACAUGUUUGUGUACUUAAAAGAUAACUGGUGAAUCAGAACAAUAAUUUAGCAUUAAUUAUAGUAAUU